rnacentral:rRNA from 1 species
AAGAAUCUAGCUUCAGGUGUUUGGGACAAGCCACUAGAAACGGUGGCUAAUACCGAAUGUGCCGAGAGGUGAAAGGGCUUGUGCCUGAAGAUGAGCUCGCGUCUGAUUAGCUAGUAGUGGGGUAAGAGCCUUACCUAGGACGACGAUCAGUAGCUGGUCUGAGAGGAUUAUCGAAGCCACAUUGGUGCACCUGAGCCAGGGUCCAACUCUCAUCGGGAGGCAGCAGUGGGGAAUUUUCCGCAAUGGGCGAAAGCCUGACGGAGCUAAUACCACGUGAGGGAGGAAGGCUCUUGGGUUGUAAACCUCUUUUCUCAGGGAAGAACACAAUGACGGUACCUGAGGAAUCAGCAUCGGCUAACUCCGUGCCAGCAGCCGC